GGUUAUGGCUCAGUGGUAGAGCACCUGCCUCACACAUGGGAGGCACUGGGUUCAAUACCCAGCACCA
rnacentral:tRNA from 1 species